UAGGGAAUUUUCGUCAAUGGGCGCAAGCCUGAACGAGCAAUGCCGCGUGAACGAGGAAGGUCUUCGGAUCGUAAAGUUCUGUUGAAGGGGGAAAAAGAGCGGAGAGAGGAAAUGCUUUCUGAUUGAUAUUACCCUUCGAGGAAGUCACGGCUAACUACGUGCC
rnacentral:rRNA from 1 species